rnacentral:rRNA from 1 species
CCUACGGGAGGCAGCAGUGGGGAAUAUUGCACAAUGGGGGAAACCCUGAUGCAGCGACGCCGCGUGAGUGAAGAAGUAAUUCGUUAUGUAAAGCUCUAUCAGCAGGGAAGUAAAUGACGGUACCUGAGUAAGAAGCCCCGGCUAACUACGUGCCAGCAGCCGCGGUAAUACGGAGGGUGCAAGCGUUAUCCGGAUUUACUGGGUGUAAAGGGAGCGUAGACGGGAGUGCAAGUCUGGAGUGAAAGGCGGGGGCUCAACCGCCGGAUUGCAAUUGAAACUGUAAGGCUGGAGUACAGGAGAGGUAAGUGGAAUUCCUAGUGUAGCGGUGAAAUGCGUAGAUAUUACGAAGAACACCAGUGGCGAAGGCAGCUUACUGGACUGUAACUGACGUUGAGGCUCGAAAGUGUGGGGAGCAAACAGGAUUAGAUACCCCAGUAGUC